rnacentral:hammerhead_ribozyme from 1 species
AUCCAGCUCACGAGUCCAAAAUAGAACGAAAUGUGAGUCUUGGAU